rnacentral:rRNA from 1 species
UACGUAGGGGGCAAGCGUUGUCCGGAAUCAUUGGGCGUAAAGCGCGUGUAGGCGGUUUGGUAAGUCUGCUGUGAAAGUCCAGGGCUCAACCCUGGGAAGCCGGUGGAUACUGUCAGACUAGAGUACGGAAGAGGCGAGUGGAAUUCCCGGUGUAGCGGUGAAAUGCGCAGAUAUCGGGAGGAACACCAAUUGCGAAGGCAGCUCGCUGGGACGUCACUGACGCUGAGACGCGAAAGCGUGGGGAGCAAACAGG